ACUACCGACUGUACCACGUUGAAUACACCAAUUCUCGUCAGAUCACUGAAGUUAAGCGACACCGGGCGUGGUCAGUACUCGGAUGAUGGACCGUCUGGGAGAUCACGUGUUGUUGGUU
rnacentral:rRNA from 1 species